rnacentral:rRNA from 1 species
UACAGAGGGUGCGAGCGUUGUUCGGAUUCAUUGGGCGUAAAGGGUGCGUAGGUGGCGCCGUAAGUCAGGUGUGAAAUCUCGGGGCUCAACCCCGAAACUGCACUUGAUACUGCGGUGCUCGAGUACUGGAGAGGAGAUUGGAAUUUACGGUGUAGCAGUGAAAUGCGUAGAUAUCGUAAGGAAGACCAGUGGCGAAGGCGAAUCUCUGGACAGUUACUGACACUGAGGCACGAAGGCCAGGGGAGCAAACGGG